rnacentral:pre_miRNA from 2 species
GAGUCUGGUUACUAGGCAGUGUAGUUAGCUGAUUGCUAGUAGUACCAAUCACUAACUACACGGCCAAGUAAAAAGAUUUG